UCAGUAGUUCCAAACAGAAUACUGAGUUCCGGUAAUAAGUAUUACCGACCUACUCUGUUCUAAGAAAAUGUUCUGCGCUUGUCAAAAAAUAAGCCGAUCACUCAGUAAAAUCAAAAGUGCUUUACUGGACACCCGUUCAAACAAAUACCGAGCUCUGUUUCCGACUACAUGCCUCCUGAUGUGACGCCAUUUUUACGACUCGGAAUCGGAUCAAUUUCAUUACACGAAUUUGUUUCGCAUUUGAAUAGUGGCACCAGAAAAAUAUGAUCCUAACUUAAUGUUCAGGCUAAUAUUCAUAACCAGUAUUUCAUGUCGCCGUUGGUGCUGAUAAUUCGUUUCCAGUUAAUUUCGUCUAAGUUCUAGAUCCUGGUCUGUAAUAACACGGCAGAUACAAACUUUCUGGACGGAAAUGCGGUGCUAUGCCACCAUCUGAAAGGUAGCUUCUCGAGGUGUGAACGAAGUAGCGCUACUAGAGGAAGACAGGAGAUGAAAAAUAUUACACCUAAUAUUGCCUAAC